rnacentral:rRNA from 1 species
AGUGAACGCUGGCGGUAGGCCUAACACAUGCAAGUCGAACGGCAGCACAGUAAGAGCUUGCUCUUACGGGUGGCGAGUGGCGGACGGGUGAGGAAUACAUCGGAAGCUACUUUUUCGUGGGGGAGAACGUAGGGAAACUUACGCUAAUACCGCAUACGACCGACGGGUGAAAGCAGGGGGUCUUCGUACCUUUCUCGAUUAAAUGGGGCGAGGUCGGAUUAACUAUGUUGGGGGGUAAAUGACCACCAAGGCGACAAUCCGUAGGUGGUCUGAGAGGAUGAUCAGCCACCCUGGAACUGAGACACGGUCCAGACUCCUACGGGAGGCAGCAGUGGGGAAUAUUGGACAAUGGGCGCAAGCCUGAUCCAGCCAUACCGCGUGGGUGAAGAAGGCCUUCGGGUUGUAAAGCCCUUUUGUUGGGAAAGAAAAGCAGCAGGUUAAUACCCCGCUGUUCUGACGGUACCCAAAGAAUAAGCACCGGCUAACUUCGUG